rnacentral:rRNA from 1 species
UACGGGGGGGGUAAGCGUUGUUCGGAAUUACUGGGCGUAAAGGGCUCGUAGGCGGCCAACUAAGUCGGACGUGAAAUCCCUCAGCUUAACCGGGGAACUGCGUCUGAUACUGGAUGGCUAGAGUUUGGGAGAGGGAUGCGGAAUUCCAGGUGUAGCGGUGAAAUGCGUAGAUAUCUGGAGGAACACCGGUGGCGAAGGCGGCAUCCUGGACCAACACUGACGCUGAGGAGCGAAAGCCAGGGGAGCAAACGGG